rnacentral:rRNA from 1 species
AGAGUUUGAUCCCGGCUCAGAAUCAACGCUGGCGGCGCGCUUAACACAUGCAAGUCGCACGAGAAAGUGGAGCAAUCCAUGAGUACAGUGGCGUACGGGUGAGUAACACGUGGAUCAUCUACCUUCUAGUGGGGAAUACCCCCGGGAAACUGGGGACAAUACCGCAUAAGCUCGUAAGAGGAAAGCAGCAAUGCGCUGGAAGAGGAGUCCGCGGCUGAUUAGCUAGUUGGCGGGGUAAUGGCCCACCAAGGCGAAGAUCGGUAGCCGGCCUGAGAGGGCACACGGCCACACUGGCACUGAAACACGGGCCAGACUCCUACGGGAGGCAGCAGUGGGGAAUCUUGCACAAUGGAGGAAACUCUGAUGCAGCGACGCCGCGUGAGCGAUGAAGCCCUUCGGGGUGUAAAGCUCUUUCGACGGGAACGAUAAUGACGGUACCCGAAGAAGAAGCUGCGGCUAACUACGUGCCAGCAGCCGCGGUAAUACGUAGGCAGCAAGCGUUGUUCGGAAUUACUGGGCGUAAAGAGUGUGUAGGCGGUGUUCCAAGUCUGUUGUGAAAUCUCCCGGCUUAACUGGGAGGGUGCGGCGGAAACUGGGAUGCUAGAGGAUGGGAGAGGUAAGCGGAAUUCCUGGUGUAGCGGUGAAAUGCGUAGAUAUCAGGAGGAACACCUGUGGUGUAGACAGCUUACUGGACCAUUUCUGACGCUGAGACACAAAAGCGUGGGUAGCAAACAGGAUUAGAUACCCUGGUAGUCCACGCUGUAAACGAUGUGCACUAGGUGUUGGUCCGUUGAGGAUCAGUGCCGUAGCUAACGCGUUAAGUGCACCGCCUGGGGAGUAUGCUCGCAAGGGUGAAACUCAAAGGAAUUGACGGGGGCCCGCACAAGCGGUGGAGCAUGUGGUUUAAUUCGAUAUACGCGAGAAACCUUACCAGGGCUUGACAUAAGCAUGACGGUUGUAGAGAUACAGCCUCUCUUCGGAGCGUGUUUACAGGUGCUGCAUGGCUGUCGUCAGCUCGUGCUGUGAAGUGUUGGGUUAAGUCCCGCAACGGGCGCAACCCUUGCUGUCUGUUGCCAACAGGUAAUGCUGGGGACUCAGACGGUACUGCCGGUGACAAACCGGAGGAAGGUGGGGACGACGUCAAGUCAUCAUGGCCCUUAUGUCCUGGGCUACACACGUGCUACAAUGGCCGGUACAGAGCGAGGCGAGACCGCGAGGUGGAGCAAAUCGCAGAAAACCGGUCCCAGUUCGGAUUGAAGUCUGAAACCCGACUUCAUGAAGGUGGAAUCGCUAGUAAUCGCGCAUCAGCAUGGCGCGGUGAAUAUGUUCCCGGGCCUUGUACACACCGCCCGUCACACCACCCGAGUUGGGGGUACCCGAAGUCGCUCGUCUAACCAGUAAUGGGGGACGGUGCCGAAGGUAUGCCUGGUAAGGGGGGUGAAGUCGUAACAAGGUA